rnacentral:rRNA from 1 species
UACGAAGGGGGCUAGCGUUGCUCGGAAUCACUGGGCGUAAAGCGCACGUAGGCGGUUUGUUAAGUCAGGGGUGAAAUCCUGGAGCUCAACUCCAGAACUGCCUUUGAUACUGGCGAUCUCGAGUCCGGGAGAGGUGAGUGGAACUGCGAGUGUAGAGGUGAAAUUCGUAGAUAUUCGCAAGAACACCGGUGGCGAAGGCGGAUCUCUGGGCCAUUACUGACGCUGAGGAGCGAAAGCGUGGGGAGCAAACAGG